rnacentral:rRNA from 1 species
UACGUAGGGUGCAAGCGUUGUCCGGAAUUAUUGGGCGUAAAGAGCUCGUAGGCGGUUCGUCGCGUCGGCUGUGAAAACCCGGAGCUCAACUCCGGGCCUGCAGUCGAUACGGGCGGACUAGAGUUCGGCAGGGGAGACUGGAAUUCCUGGUGUAGCGGUGAAAUGCGCAGAUAUCAGGAGGAACACCGGUGGCGAAGGCGGGUCUCUGGGCCGAUACUGACGCUGAGGAGCGAAAGCGUGGGGAGUGAACAGG